ensembl:miRNA xtr-mir-193 xtr-mir-193
GUGGUUUCGGAGUCGGGAUUUUGGGGGCGAGAUGAGCUAAUGAUUUAUCCAACUGGCCCGCAAAGUCCCGCUUCUGGAAGUCA